CCCUGAGUUCGCGGGAGAGUAGGUUAUUGCCAGGGUUUUUAUUUUAUACUUUAAACCUUGAAUUUAUUUUUUAAAUGUUUAUAUUWUUUGAAUANWRCAUKCAAWUWWUAUAAAAAAUAAUAUAUAUAUUGACAUGGAUUAAACAAAGAUAUAUAUUAUUCUAUGUUGUAUAAACAAAUUGGCAAAAUAGAGAUGGAAGAUAAAAAUAUGGUCAAAGUAAUAAGAGUCUAUGGUGGAYGCCUAGGAGCUUUAAGGCGAAGAAGGUCGUGGUAAGCUGCGAAAAGCUUGGGGGAUAAGCAANACAUUUAUUGAUCCMAAGAUUACCGAAUGGAGURAYCCAGCUAGCAAGAUGCUAGCUAUCUAUUAUCUAAAUAAUAGAGGCGAUACCAGGGGAAGUGAACCAUCUAAUUACCCUGAAGAA
rnacentral:misc_RNA from 1 species